rnacentral:lncRNA from 1 species
AUGGGAUCAGGGAGCUGGGACACGGCUCCUGGUGCCACCACCCCCUUGGUUUCUCCAGGGAUAGGUCCUGAGCCCCCUCUCCCCAUGGCACGGACUCACCUUCUGGCCCUGCAUGCCCUCGGGACCUCGCGGGCCAACGCUGCCUGGGGGGCCGGGGGGGCCGGGAGCCCCAUCACUGCCCCGGGGACCGGGGGCACCGAUAACGCCUGGGGAACCCUGCGGGAGAGCAGAGGGAUGGGCUGGGGACGUCCCACGGGGCGCAUGCCCUGGCCCCACAAUGGGGUGUCCCCAAAGCACCAGCUGCCCCUCAGGUCCUCCAGGAGCAUUUUAAAAAAUGAUUUGUCACCCAGCUCAGUGACAGAGCAGAGCCCUGGGUGGCUCUUUUGGGAUCGUCAGGCUCCGGUGCCCCACGGGGUGAGGCUUGGUGCUGCUGAAGGCAGAGGAGGGGACGAUGGAUGCGUCCCCCCCCCAACCACUCACCCGGUCUCCUUUCUCCCCCUGGUCUCCUUUGGCUCCCUGCUGCCCGUCGAAUCCCCGGUCACCCUGGGGGGAGGAAGGUGCAGGCAGUGGGGGACCACGGGGAGCAGCCCCAGGACCGUCCCCGAGGUCCCAAUGCGUCCCCAAGGUCCCCACACGUCCCCAAGGUCCCACUGUGACCCUACCUUGGGUCCCAUGAGCCCCUCCUUCCCGGGGACCCCCGGCACCCCCGACAGCCCCAGCUCUCCCUGCGGGACGAAGCAGACAUCGGUGAGCCCCCGCCGUGCAUCCCCCCCACCCCAUACCCCGGUGCCACCACUCACCGGCUCGCCUUUCCUCCCUGGCAGCCCCGAGCGCCCCGGCAGCCCCGGCUCUCCCUACAGCAGGCAGGACAGAGGCAGGGAGGGCGUCAGAGCUCACCUUUGGGGUCACCCCCAGCAGGGGACCCUCAGCGGGGUCGGGGUCCGUGCUCAGCCAUCCCUGGUGGCUGUGGGAUGGACGGAGGGGCUGCACAGCGUAGGCACCCACUCACCUUCUCCCCCUUGUCCCCGUCGAGGCCGCAGGCGCCUUUGA